GCCCUGGUGGCGGAAUUGGUAGACGCGCUGGCUUGAGGGGUCAGUUCCCAUUUAGGGAGUGCUGGUUCGACUCCAGUCCAGGGCACCA
rnacentral:tRNA from 1 species